rnacentral:rRNA from 1 species
GAGUACGAUCGCAAGAUUAAAACUCAAAGGAAUUGACGGGGCCCCGCACAAGCAGCGGAGCAUGCGGCUUAAUUCGACGCAACGCGAAGAACCUUACCAAGGCUUGACAUAUACAGGAAUAUGGCAGAGAUGUCAUAGCCGCAAGGUCUGUAUACAGGUGGUGCAUGGUUGUCGUCAGCUCGUGUCGUGAGAUGUUGGGUUAAGUCCCGCAACGAGCGCAACCCUCGUUCUGUGUUGCCAGCAUUUAGUUGGGGACUCACAGGAGACUGCCGGGGUUAACUCGGAGGAAGGUGGGGAUGACGUCAAAUCAUCAUGCCCCUUAUGUCUUGGGCUGCACGCAUGCUACAAUGGCUGGUACAAACGGCUGCGAUACCGCAAGGUGGAGCGAAUCCGAGAAAGCCAGUCUCAGUUCGGAUUGGGGUCUGCAACUCGACCCCAUGAAGUCGGAGUUGCUAGUAAUCGUAGAUCAGCAACGCUACGGUGAAUACGUUCCCGGGGCUUGUACACACCGCCCGUCACAUCACGAAAGUCGGUAACACCCAAAGUCAGUGGCCCAACCGCAAGGAGGGAGCUGCCAAAGGUGGGAUCGGUAUUGGGAUG